rnacentral:rRNA from 1 species
CACCUACGGGGCGCAGCAGUGAGGAAUAUUGGUCAAUGGGCGGGAGCCUGAACCAGCCAAGUCGCGUGAGGGAAGACGGUCCUAUGGAUUGUAAACCUCUUUUGUCGGGGAGCAAAGAGACCACGUGUGGUCAAAAGCGAGAGUACCCGAAGAAAAAGCAUCGGCUAACUCCGUGCCAGCAGCCGCGGGAAUACGGAGGGUGCGAGCGUUAUCCGUAUUUUUUGGUUUUAAAGGGUGCGUAGG